CACUUCCUUGCAGUUGGAAGUGUACAGAGUGCUUUUUCAAAGCUGCUUUUUGAAUACCUUGCUACUGAUUUCAGGCUCUUUUCUCAGCCGUGCCAGCUGGGAGUGUUAGUGGUGGGGUGCAGAGCACAUGCUGCUGCACUGUCACUGCCUCAUCCUGUGGCACACGUCCUCUGUGCUGGGGCAGGGCUGGCCCCAAGUGCUGUGUGUGCCCAAGCCCAGUACCCUAGGCAGAAGGAACCACUCACUGCGAGAACAACUGCUGAAUGUGUUCCUGAAUUCCCCUCCCAGAGAUGCGCCCCUUUGGGCCUGGAGGCUGGCAGCAGGCCCAUGGCACCCAGAGCCACUGUGCUGUACCAGGGGCAGCCCAGCACCGCCAACAGCCAGAGGGAUGCAGGCAGCACUUGGGGGUUCCGUGCCAUGUCCUCCACCCCCACCCCUGCUGGCAUCUGACAACCCCCAUACAGCCCCUGCCAGGAACUUCCACGUGUACUGAUGAGGAGCUCGGUGCAAUCAGUGUCCUGUGCUUGAAUUUGGGAUGUGAUCCCACAUGAGAGCAAGCCAGAUUUCAGGUCCCGGGUCAGCAUGUGAACUUAAGCAGCUUCCUUCCACAUCUCUUGCUGCUCACUUUCGGUCUUGCUGGAGCUCUCCUUUCCCCUCCACAUUUUCUGCUCUCCCAAUUCUUUUCCUCCCACUGAAGUUGUUACUAAAUAUUAUUCCCUGCGUGUAUUCUCUUGUAUUUUUCCAAGCUGAAGCUCAUUUUAUUGUUUCCUGCUCAUAUUAUUUCUUGCUUCUCUGUAGGUCCCUUUAUAUUAUUUCUCUGUCCUCAGUGGGGUUUGCAGCAUUUCCCUGCAUCCCACACGCAGACAGCAGCAUGCAGAGUGGUAGGCGAGUUGGGAAGCAGCAGCACAGCUUCUCUGGGAGAUGAGCCCAUUUCCCACCAGAGGUGAUGCCUUCCUGGUUUUCCAAGUAGUGUUUGCAGGAAGGCAAGUGCUUGGCAAGCAAAUGUGUGGCACACAGCUUUCUCAGAGUAUGCAGCUCAGGACCUCGUUUCUUCAUUAGGCAGCCAGAGAGAGCCCUGUGUGGGGUGUGACGUGUGCCACGGCAUUCGGAGUGCUUAUUUCUGCUCCCAGGUGGAAAGCUUUGGCAAAGUAUCUCAUUUUCUUAAUAGUGCUCAGUCUGGAUGGUUAUUUCUGUUGCCGGUGGGGCAGCGAUGCUGUCAUUCUAUACCUGGUGGUAUCUGCUGCUCAGCAUGAAGAUGAUGUGCCUUCCUUUUCAUGGUUGACUUAUCAGUAGUGCAUGAGGAAAUCUGAAAGAAAACUUACCCCAAACUCUGAAGACAACCCAUUGUCUGCCACUGCGGGGUCCUUUCAUGCACUCAGUAGACUUCUGAUAGCAAAAGCAUAAAUUGAAUGUCCAAGAAAGAGUGGCAGUGGCAUCCCUUCUCCUGAACACGAUAACCCUUUGCUUUCAGAGAGGCAAACCCUUAUUUGCCUUUUUGGUCCUUCAGAAAACCUCCAGCAGAACUGAGGAGAAUGAUGACAAGUCAAGCUGGAAAAUGUUCAUUAAUUAAAAAAACAUAGAUGAUCUGCUUUCCAUCAGGCCAGCCUCGUGGUCAGUGCUGCAGCACGUCAGGGCACGGCCCCAUCUGCUCUGUAGGUUAACUUAUAAAGAGUAGGAAGGAGUAGGAGAAAUAAAAGGAGUAGGACUCAGUCCUGUUAAGCCCAGGCAAGGUGGGAUCCCAUCAUAGCGCUCAAUGAAACCAAGAGCCUUCCUUUCUUCCCAGACAUGGAGUCAUGUCAGCCACGAGCCACAUCCAGGAGGCCUGCAGAGAUGGAUGGGCCGUCCCCCUGUGCCCCAGGGACAGGUCUGGCUCUGCACGGGAUGUCCCUCUGAGGGAGAAAUCCUGCGUUGCUGUGCUUUGGGAAUGAUUCUUUCCUCAUGGGCAAACGUGGGGCGGGGAUGGAAGGAACCCAACCAAUGUGAUGGAUCGAACAACUUGUGACUGGGAGACAACACCGUGUUCUUCUUGAGAAAACGCAUAUCCAUCUGAAAAAGCAAAGGAAGAAGAAAAAUUACUGGAGUUCAGCUCAAAGGCACAGCCUGUUUUUACCGACAGUUUUAGGCAUUGCUGAAGUUACAAUACAGACAGGAAUGAUCCUCAUUUCUAUGCUGCACUUCUGUCAUCUACAGCUGUGCCCACGUGGAUGCCUGCCAGCUCUGCCUUACUGCUCCCUCCCAGGCCACACUGGUGUACAUGGUCAACAUUUCCCUCUGAGCUGACCCAGCUAACAAACUUUGCAUAGAUUUUGGACACCAGCUUGACUCCCACAGUAGCAGAGCUUCUUUAAAGACUGGACAGGCAGGUGGAGAUUUGCAUUUUUGGUUGACGCUAUCGUCUGCUUGGUAUCUGUGGUCUGCCUGAAGGAACACAGAAAUGUCUACACCACAGCUGGAUCUGAGUCACAUCUUCCUAAGUCCACUCAGGAAUUUCUUUUACUUUUUUAACAAGCUCCCAGGUGUCACCAGCAAAUUGCAUUGAGCAACUCUUGUCUAGUCACCCAAAUCUUGAAGAAAAGAAACUUCAGCAUAUUCUGGAGGUCUCUGUUUUGCACAAGUUAAUCCUGUGAGUGAACAUAAUUCUUCAGUCUCCCUAGAAAUUACUCAGAUGAGAAGAACUACAUGUCUGAUUUCUUUUAAAGCAUUCUGGACAAGGCAAGUGAUGUUUCUGACAUCAUCUGCGAAACACCACGCUGCUGGUAAAACCAUCACAACAACUAAUGGACCGAGACAGUAAAACUCAAAACAGUAUUAAAAUCAGCCAUGAGUUUACAGAAGAUUCUGAACAGAGCAAAGCACAGUAUUCUCUGUGACACCGAGAAAGGAUACAUUCACUGAAAAUGAGUAGUCAGAAUGGAAAAGAUUUGCAUCGUGUCAAAAUACAGAGAAAAUGUCCCAAGCUACACAGAACCUGAUAAGGCUUUGUAGUAAGAAAGUAGGCAAGAGUUAGCAGGUGUGAAUUCUGCCUAGGAGAACCUAGGAAUGAUACCACAGCCCUGGAAGUGGGAGCUCAUGAACUCCUGCCUCAUAGCCACCCCAGGUAGAGAUGCAGCAUCAGGUAAGGGAGGACAGAUGUGCCAAGUACUACCCAGAGACGUAUUUCAGGAGUCCUCCCUUAACAGGCUCAAGCCAUAUUUCCCCUGGAUCAUGUACCCAGAGAGAAAAGACUGGAGCAGGAUAUGAAGGAGACCUUGCUGGGAAGAGAGUCUUGUUUAGUUACUGGGGAGGGUCUUCUCUCACAGAAUGGGGGUCAACAUCACCUCUGGAGCCACAGGGACUUUGCUGGAGAUUUGAGUUCAGAAGGCAGAACGUACCCUACCUUAGCAGAAGAGCACACUAGCAGAAGAUUAACUGACCUGAACCACAAGCACAGCAGGAAACUUUUGCUAGCAGAUGGAGGAGGUUCAAACAGAAAUACAUCAUCCAGAACUAAGAGUAAUCACAUUUCCCACUUAGAGUGAUUGUAACACCGUAGGAACUUUGAUUUCAUUACGUGACUGGUCCUGGCAUCCCUAUUCAUUUUCCCUGAGCGAUUCCAUGCCAAUAUACAUACAGCUACAGAGGUACAGCUUGGGCUUUCCUGUCUCUAGCUGAAGGUUCACAAAGUAUAUUCAUGAAAUGCAACUCUUUUGGAAAAACUGUGUGCAUCCUGUAUAAUUGCAAAGGAAAUAUUUACAAAACAGGCCUUCAUUUAAAAAAGGGUGGAUUCACACCUAGACGAAUACCUCUGGUGGGAUUCUUCCAUUUGAAGGACAGCCUCCUGUUAGCUUUUUUGGCAAAACUCUCAAUGGAAAGUCAGUUUGGUCAAAGACUUCAAGAUUAAGCCCUAACAGCCUGGCAGCUGUGCUCCAUAACUUGGUGUGCAUUCAGAUGGCUUUGCCGUACUGGCUUACCAGUAGAUUGAGUAGAUUCAACUGCUGUAACUACUGCAGACAACACUGCUUACUGCACAACUGCGGGCAGCCUGUCAAACUUAGGUAUCUUUCCACUGCCUGCUUAUUUCCAGUGCUACAAAACAGCUAGGCAGAACAACCACUCUGCAAAGCCGAAGCAAAAUGCAGUCAGAUAAAGACAUUUAACACACACCAGCAGAAAACACCUUAGCCUACAAAUUUUUGCAGGAUUAAGUUGAGCAAUGGUUAAGAAUACCAGUGGCAUUCCUACGUCCUCGUGUUCCUAAUCCACUCUGAAAUAUCAGCAACAAGGUUUUUUUGUGCAUUUGUCAGGGGAAAGGCUGUGAUCCCAGUACUUGCACCUUGCCCCUAUUCAGUCAAAACCAGACAUUUGGCAGUAUAUUUAAAGCUUUUACCGUUGAUCUCUAUACAGCAAGAUCAUUUCAUACCAUACUUUUAAUUUGUAUGAUGAUUAAGCUCGAGCUUCUGUGCCUUGCAGAAUGAGAAUGCUGUGAACGCUCACGUCCCGUCCACGUUCUCCGUUUCAACUCUCCAUUUCCACUGCUUUCAGACCCCAUCCAAAAACAAUGACAGUUUCCACCAGCCAGUUACUAGGGAACACUUCGGAAGUUUGAACUUUUCCCCGAACCCUGGCUUUAAAACCACACCUCGGAGCCUGCCCGCAGAACAAGGCUCCCAUUGUUCCAGCCCCAGGACGGAGCGCGCUUCUCGGGGGCUCUGUGGGCACAGCCACUCGCGGCCGCUGCAGAAGGAAGAACCUUUGUCCUCAGAGACCUUCUGUUAACGGAGGGAAGGAGCACUCCUAAAUCUCCGUCAGCAUGGCUCAUUUGUUAAGCGGAGAUUCACAGACGUUCUCAUCAAAUCUAAGGUUUCAUUGGCACGCGAUACUAUCAGGCAACCUAAUGAAUUUUAAAAGAAUUCUGGUGUUUUUCUUUUUUCCUUUUAAAGCUUUGAUAUUCUAUUAGUAGAUCAGAAUCUAGUCUCCCAUCAGGUUUCUAAUUUAACAGAAUCAUUUUCUGUUCCUCGCAAUGGUCCACGCAACGCUAGAUUAGAGAAACCCUCUCUGCACACAUCCCGAAUGUGCACAGCACUCUGCUCCAUCUCAGCAGCUCACUCACGUGCAAUAGCUUCCGAGAUGGGGAUCAGAGAGCAGGGUGCUGGUGCUGGGCUACAUGAUCUCCAGAGGUCCCUUCUGACCCCCAUGACUCUGUGAUGGUGUGAAAAUCUGCUCACUGAAAGACUGUGCACAGUUUUACAUGCUUCAGAGAUUUAUUUUAGAGGCUUCGGGCUCCUUGUGCUCAUCUGAUACACCUGAACUGCUGGGUUUGCUGAACAAGCAGGGAUUCUGGCUGGGAGCCUCCCUGAAAUCUUUCCUUCCUGAGCAUUUCGCUAUUUCAUACACGCAGCGGUGUGCAGUUCAGCACAGCCCAAAGUGUAAGAAGCCUUGUGCCAUCAUAUUGUUUGUCUUGGGAGAAAAACACCCAGAUUCAAACCCGCUAAAAUGGAAAUGAACUGUAAAAAAAAAAAAAAAAGAAAAAAAAUCCUUUAAAAAGUGCCGUGUCUACCACAAUCUCUGUGACAAAGCAAAAGUCAAUGUUGGAGUAUUGCCUGGCCAGCCAAAUUCUCUCUCAGGCCAAACACUGAGUGCUGCACGGUUUUUAAGGAGACUUAAUCAGACGUUACAACUCACGCCUCCCAAUUAAACUGUAAAUACAAAUUCCACUUGGACUUCUCAGAGAACCCUCUUCCACUGAUCCUGGGAAAGCAAGAGCUGCUUUAAAUCUUCUGCAUUCUGACUGAUGCUUACAGAAAUCAUUCAUUUCCAUGCUGAUAAACCAUGCCUGUGUUUUCUAAAGGACCCAAGAGGAAUUCCUGACAAAUGGUCCCAUCUCUGUUUUCCCAGACACUAACUUACGGGUGUGUGCAUGUAAAAUACAGAGCCAGAUGCCUCAGCAUUGAUUCUGAACUAAUUAUUCCCACUUCUUUUCCUUAAGAUGAUUUUAAAAUAUAGUCACAUUACUCAACAGCCAACCAAUACGUAGCUGUCUUGUAAAAAAAAAUAGAGAUAAUACAUUUCCAACACAUGUAAGAUAGUAGGAAAUGGAGUUUUAAAAGCUUCUGAAGUAGCUACCCUGUUGUUUGUCAAAUCAAAAUGCACCAGGAGUAAAGCCAGAGGAAGAAGGUGUCCGCUGGUGGAAAAUAAAUGGUAAGAUUAGAGUCCUCAGCAUGAACACAUUAUUAGUAUUUAUUAUUCGUCAGCCCCCAUGCUGUGAAACAAACCUCAGCUGACAGGUGCUUUUUUCCUAUUGAUUAAUAAGGUGCAAACCAUAUGCCCUGUGUUCACGUUGACUCUAAGCAAUCACCAUAUACUGUUGAAGGAGGAGGGAUUUUCUUUGCAAACAUAGGAAAUCUGGGCCAAGCACGUUAAUCCUCAUUCAGGCACGGCACUCUGCAUUUCAAGGGGAAUUCUGCCAGAGCAGUGCUUAACAGGAGGAUUCCACUCUGUUUGUAAGAGCAUGCAGAGACAAAUGACAACUGAACACUGACAGGGUACUCUGAAUUAUGAGAGUGAAUCUGCGCUGGAGAGAUUGUAUUGGACAUUCCUUAGAGACAGUCAAGGAUGAAAGCACCUGAGCAAAUGGGACAGCAUCACACUCCUGUCUGGCUGGUGAGGCUCUGGGGACACAGGUGGCAGAGGCCAGUCAUGCAACGAAGACAGGGGACUCAAGAACUGUCAUUGGUAUCCACAGAGCUUGUCUAAAGGAGCUGCUACUUCCACAAAGUCAGAGCUAACAGAGAAAAGACAGCAACUGGGAUGGAGACUUGGCUUGCUUUGCUAACGCUUUAGGAAAGGGGGUGGCUCACCAACAGAAAGCUAUGAGAGGCACUGAGCGAGCUCCUCUUUCCCACUCACCACAGGGCUGUGCAGGCUUUACCCUCCGUCAUCUCCCCCCUACCACUGCAGACCACCAGAAGUAGCCUUGAAACUCCUUGCAAUAUUUUUCUAGCACUUAUCUCCAUAUGAUUGAAACAAAUUUAUAUAGGCAUCACUUCCUCACCAAAAAGUUGGAAACAUUUUUUGUCAAAAGUUCAUCUCAAACCAGUACUGCAUCUUUACAGACUGUUCUAGGAAGCCUAACCUCAUUUUUCUUCCUCGCUGGGACCAAAGCAGUCGAUCUGCUUAAGCCUGUGUCAGCUCUAACUAAACAAAUCAUUUUAAUGUUUUAUAUGCAAGUGUCAGAUUCUGAGCUGAAGUCACACAAGCGAUUUUUGGAAGAAGUGGCCUUCACAGGCUGAGGACUUGGAGCCUGGCAAUAACACACGAACAGUUCAAGACUUCAAACAGAGUGCACGCGGUGUGAUUUAAGAUAUUGGCCCAGCAAGUCAAGGCGACUGCCCUAUUCAUCAAUUCUUUGCUUUGAAGAUUUCCAGAAUUUAGUAAACAGUUAUACAAUUCAGGGUUGUGCAAACAGCACAUAUGUUCUCCGAAUUUCACAUGGCCUUGUACAUACAGCAGCUAUGCAACAUUGGAAAAUACAUUUGACAAGAGACGGUGGAAAUUUUAAAGAAUUGUGGAUACACUGUAGAAAGAGUCUUUGAAACCUAACAGCAAUCAAAUUUGUGUUCACGUGAAACACAGACUGCUGACUGUAACCUGUCCUGCGCUGACUCAUUUAGCACUUCAGCUAGUUAUUGAACUUAGAGUUUAUUUCAGUGUCUUAUUUUCCUUUCCCAAUAGCAAUUCGUUUAAUUAACAUACUGAUACGUGCUACACCAAACUAAAAGCACGUAUCAAGUCUGACCAUUCACUACCGUGUAUCUCUUUUCUGCACUGUGGUGUCUACAGCAGACUUCCUUGACAGCAAUUUAUUUAUGUAUUUUACCUAUUCCUUCUGCCAAUCAUCCUCCUUGGAAUUCCCUCACAAAACAUGUUUGUGUGCUUACAGCAGAGCUACAGUCAGCAUCCCUAUCUCUCUGAUUCACAGGAUUGGAUGUUGGAAGGAGCACGUGGUCCACAGGGCUGCUUGGCACAUCGAUCUCCUUUGCCAGGAGCAAUGAGAUUGAUAACUAAAGACCCUAUAUCCUACUGACAGCGACAUCCUUACAGCUGUUUUGUAAAGGACAAAGACAAGCAGAUUCAUCAGUGUUCCACCCAUUCUGAUUAAAUUCCCUGUGGAAAACAAGGAUACCUCAGGCAUCUGAGUUCUCAAAUCCCAGCCUUGCCGCCAUGACAUGAACCACAUUUCUGCCACGGAAAACAAUACACUCAACAAGUGAGAUUAGACUCCAGUUAGCUUUCUGGGAGGCUUGAGCAGUCAAUGCUCUAACUUCUCGUUGCAACAGUAAUACAAAACCCAAAUCCCCAAUGCCUGCCCCUUGUCCUCAGAGCAGCAGUGCUGCAUGCAGGGGGUUGUUUCCUUAGUAAGAUGAGCAAAAAAACCCAGGUCUGGCAGAUAGAGGCCUGUCAUGUGUUUCUCCAGGAAGAUGAAUAAAUGGAUGACUUCAACACCAGCAAGAAAUGUAAUUUAUUCCAAAAAGCAUCACUGAGGUGUGAGGUCACCUCUCCUUCCUACAGAGGAGGGAGAGGAGCAAUGCAGCUCUGCGUGCCAUGGCUUUCCUCAUCAGACACACGCAUAACUCCUAGUCGGCAUCCUGAAAUAUCACUGUAUUCUCAGCUAACCACAACUAGUAAGACUUUAUGAAUAAAGAAGCCAUUUCUAUUUAAGCUAGGCUCUAUCACAACAUUUAUUUUAUCCUGCAGAGUUUUUGAUUUCACAGCAUUCUUGAGACUAUCAGGAUUUUACAUUUAGAGAAUCUGCAUGUUGGGAUUUUGUCAUCUCGGCCCGUUGAUUGGAUCCUAGGGAAUUAUCCACAUUUGAGCUCUGCUUGCCUAGGGCCAAAUACACUAAUUCCACUUCCAAAUGUAAGUCUCCUGGUUGGCAGCUCAGCUUCUGCACUAGAUUAUCUCUACCUACAAUUUAAUUAAAAAGUAAUCACCUUUCGCUUCACUCAUCUGGGACUGACUGCUGUGCAACACGCAUGCAUACAUGAACUGUUACUUACGUGAUACACUUUGCUGGACAGAAUGAGCACGGAAAAGGCUCGGAGGAGUUUUCCUGCCAAGCCUUUUUAACAAAUGAUCACGUUCGUUCACGCUGAGGGAAAGAAAAAAAAAAUCAGUGAGUAACCAGAUAAUUUUAAGAUAAACGUCAGCUGUACUUAAAGCACUUGUCAGCUUUAGCUUUGUCAGUAUUGAGAUGGUGGCAGCAUGAAAAAAUAAACCUUUCCUUUAAACUGCGCAAUACCCAGAAUAUUCUCUAAUAACGGAAACUCUUCCUUUCUAAGGCCACUUUUUAAGGAUUACAUUUAAUCCAUCCAUCCCUAAUAUCAAUCAUUGUGAUUUCUGAAUGUAAGACAUCUAUAAAUUGUUACAAGCCAUAUCAAAUGUCCAACAUCAAGUGGUGUGGAGUGUCUCAAAGGAGAUCUCUUUCCAGUAUUACGUACACAAAUGAUGGCACCCACCAACUGCCUUAGAGACAAGGAGCAAUGCAAUGUGGCGUAGCACAUAGCAAGAGGCCUCUAUCACACUUGCAGAAGUGCCUGAAAUAACUGAAGGCAGCACCACUGUUGACUUCUAAAGAUUUGCAUCUCCAAUCCUGGAGAAAAAACUUCCAAUUCAGUUUUUGGUCAAAAAUCCCCUUUGCUUUACACAGCUCAUGUUAGAAGCCUGAACUUACCAACAGUGAAAACACAAACUGAGGGUGAAAAAAAUGUAUUUCUGGCAGUUGAAAGAGAAAACUAACUGGAUUUAACAUAUACAUGCAUAUCAUUAGAGCCACUGUCCACUCUUAAUUUUUACAGACACUACUCAUUUAAUCAAGAACUGUACGCCCAGAACAGACAAUGGUUAACAUCCAGACAUUUCAGUGCGCUUAUCUACAUAAGCAAGUGGCAUAAAGUGCAACAGAAGACAGCGUAAGUGUCCAAAUCUUGUUGGACUGGGGCUUCCAGGAACCACUGUAUAUCAGAUGAUUAAGAAAUACAUAUUACAGUCUACUUUAGUUGAAAGCUGUGGCUCUGGGAAGCAUGGUCUAGUGGCUGGCAACCGUGCCCACAGCCGGGGGGUUGAAACUAGAUGAUCAUUAUGGUCCUUUUCAACCCAGGCCAUUCUAUGAUUUUAUGAAAGUUCCUGUAAGAUGAGGUUGUUUUUUUCCCCAUCUCAUACUUGUUCCUGACACUGAGUUGGCAACACUGCAUGCAGCAGAUGUCUAUAGAGCAGCCCCUUGCAGUGCCUUUGUUCCAUUUACACCACAUUUAUGCUGCCUGCUUCCAUUUCUAGUCUGCUCGUUCUUUCAUGUCCUCAUUCACAAGUAAUUCCACUUGUUAUGCCAUAAACGUGGAUACACAUUUGAAAGGCGAACGCUGGUAUCUUUCUCGGGUUAGAUUACAAGUUCACAUGUAUUUGGUAUAUGAAAUGGAAAUCCCAGCAAGCACAGCUGCUGCUGCCAACAAGCUCACAACAGCUUUAAACAAACAACUCCCUUUCAUUGAAGCAAUUUGCUAACUUCAAACAAGAAAGUAAGCAAAGAAUCUCCGAUACGUCUAUAAUGUGUAAUCCAGCCAUGCAGGCUUAUAUUCCACUUAAUAUUCCAUUAGGUUAAUAUCCAGACGCACAGCCCCUGUUUAGUGAGUAACAAGAUGCCCAUGAAAGAAAGGGAGGAAUCCUCCUUUUUUCUUUUUUCUUUUCUUUUUACUUUUUUUUUCCCCAGCCAGCCAGGUUAAGAUAUUGCAUAUCUUAUGGACCUUUCCUGUAAAAUUUUUGUAAACUGUCAACAUUUUCAGACAAUUGGUCUCUUUCCCUCCUUCCCUGGCUACAGCAGAAUCACACCUGCAAGAAAUACAGUAGGUUGCUUUUCCUGUUUGCAGUCAACUGUAUUUCCUUGGUAGCAUUUUCCUUCAAUAGAAGUUGGAAGCAAAGCUAAAGACAGCAAUUGAGAGCAUCAAAAAACUUUUAAGAGCUCACUUGGAUCAGGAGAUCUGCAUGCAUUCAAAAGAGGAGAGAAUUACAGGCUUCCACUAAAAACAGAUGCAGUAUGGAAGCUUCUGAAGAUCUUGGAAAAUCCAACUUAGAAAAAAGACUGGAUGACUGAAAGAAAACCAAGUAUACAAAGAAAAACCCAAAUGCUCUAAGCACGCAGCAGAAUAGAAAACAUACUACAAAGGGUCAUCACAGAAGAGGAUGGCAGGUACAAAGUGACACAUGAGAUUUUCCUAACUUAAGCUUAAGAGGUUUACAGCCUCCAAAAACCACCGUUGCUGGUGUGUGUACUACCCAACACCGCGGUGCUGAGCAGAGGACUGCCAGCUCACUUGGGAGUGCACAGACCGUAUGUACAGCAAACAGACUGAACCUACUCGUGGUCUGUGACUGAGAGAAGGGGGAUACCUGCCCAUCUUCUCCAUACCCAUCUCAGCAAGAGACCAGAGGCCAGUUCUGGAUGGACUGCUUAAAAGUGAUGGCAAAUAAGUUCAUGGAUUUUAAUACACUGGCUAAACACAGUCCUGGGAACAGCAAAAAACACACAGCCAUUGUACUUUCCACUUUGAUAAGGGAAUUUGAGACUACGUUUCAAGACUGCCGAAAAAAAUCAUCAAUUUUUUGGUUAAUUUGCAACUCCAUUUUCAGUUAACAUAAAUACAUUACUUGUGAAUUUUCAAGUAAAAGAGUUGUAAAGAGUUGCAAUCCAAAAUCUGAUCAUCUCUUUCCCAAACUUUUCUAAGUCCUCUUAUCAGAGAGUUAUAUCCCUCACUUCACAGUCGUGCCUUACUUGUGUCAUCACUUUUUGGCAUUACAUACAUUUGUGAACAACUACUUUGAAGGAUGAAGUACAGGAAGAGUAGAAUUUCAUCAAAAAUCUCUGGCAAACACCUUGAGAACUCACUACGAAUUGCAACCACUGCCAUCGAACCCGACUGAUGUGUUAGUUUCACAAAAACAAGGUCACAUGUCCCAGCUGUUUUAUGGUUUCAUCGCUCUCUUUUUUAUAUUUUUCAAUAAAAAAAACAAUAAUUAAAAUAAGUUUUAUUACUUUAUAUACAUUGAUUGUAGUAUAUAUUUAAGGAGGACUGCGUUGGAAGUAACGCUUCCUAUGUUAUCCUGUUGGCCCACAGUGUCAGAGGCAGAUGUUGGUGGUAUGGCAGUAGAGGCCGAACCUUCCCACCAAUAUCUCAUUACUUGUUGUUGCUGUAUGACAGUUGGCAGCAGAGGGGCAGUUUGACAGAAUGGCAUCUGAUAUGGAAGUGCAUGUGAGGCACUGAGUUCCUCUACGCAGAAAACAUGGCACCCACUGACAUUCAUCAACACUUGCUGAACACUGCUGAACAGUGGAUGUGAGCACAGUGAGGUGGUGGGU
rnacentral:lncRNA from 1 species